rnacentral:rRNA from 1 species
CCUACGGGAGGCAGCAGUGGGGAAUCUUGGACAAUGGGCGCAAGCCUGAUCCAGCCAUGCCGCGUGAGUGAUGAAGGCCCUAGGGUCGUAAAGCUCUUUCGCCAGGGAUGAUAAUGACAGUACCUGGUAAAGAAACCCCGGCUAACUCCGUGCCAGCAGCCGCGGUAAUACGGAGGGGGUUAGCGUUGUUCGGAAUUACUGGGCGUAAAGCGCGCGUAGGCGGACCAGAAAGUUAGGGGUGAAAUCCCGGGGCUCAACCCCGGAACUGCCUCUAAAACUCCUGAUCUAGAGUUCGAGAGAGGUGAGUGGAAUUCCGAGUGUAGAGGUGAAAUUCGUAGAUAUUCGGAGGAACACCAGUGGCGAAGGCGGCUCACUGGCUCGAUACUGACGCUGAGGUGCGAAAGUGUGGGGAGCAAACAGGAUUAGAUACCCUGGUAGUCCACACCGUAAACGAUGAAUGCCAGUCGUCGGGUAGCAUGCUAUUCGGUGACACACCUAACGGAUUAAGCAUUCCGCCUGGGGAGUACGGUCGCAAGAUUAAAACUCAAAGGAAUUGACGGGG